rnacentral:rRNA from 1 species
UACGUAGGGUGCGAGCGUUAAUCGGAAUUACUGGGCGUAAAGCGUGCGCAGGCGGUUUUGCAAGCCGGAUGUGAAAUCCCCGGGCUCAACCUGGGAAUGGCAUUCGGGACUGCAAGGCUGGAGUGCGGCAGAGGAGACUGGAAUUCCUGGUGUAGCAGUGAAAUGCGUAGAUAUCAGGAGGAACACCAAUGGCGAAGGCAGAUCUCUGGGCCGUAACUGACGCUGAGGAGCGAAAGCAUGGGGAGCGAACAGG